rnacentral:lncRNA from 12 species
CUGCAGCAAGCCUACUUUCCCCUCUGCCUAUUACUCUGCUUCUCUCUCUAUGUCUCUUAUGAAUAAAUAAAUAAAAUCUUUAAAAAAAAAAAAAGGAGUGAGUCAAGAGAAGAUCUGAAGGGAGUGCUCAGGGAAACAUUGAUCAAGCAACUUUUGUUCUAGGCCUCAGGAGAAACACUCUUUGUCUUGGUGUCUUUCUAGGCUUCUCAUCAUCAGAGGAAUAAGACCUUACCAUUUUAUAUGAAGCUCCUACACUCAUCGUGCUACGAGACAACAUAAAAAAGGACUGUUCCAGAGACCUUCAUAUUUUGGAACAUCUUUAUCCAUCCUACUCUGACUGUUCCCUCUGCCCCAACUCUUCCAUAUGGAGCAUCUGUGUCUAUGAUUCUUCACCAAAGUACAUCGAAGUCACUCCUGGGGAUUUUCCUGAACUAUGCACCAUGAUUCUUCUCCCUGCAGAGAUGCACAUUCACUCUGAUAUGCUUCAAAUCACAGAGUUACUUUUACUGAUGACAGUACAUGGUAUCUCUUGGUAUGUCAAGGCUGUAAAAUAAUAUUAAGAACC